rnacentral:piRNA from 1 species
UUCCUGUUAAAGGAUUGGUGUUAUUUCCUGC